rnacentral:rRNA from 1 species
UACGGGGGGAGCAAGCGUUGUUCGGAAUCACUGGGCGUAAAGGGCGUGUAGGCGGUCAGGCAAGUGGAAUGUGAAAUCCCUCGGCUCACCCGAGGACCUGCAUCCCAAACUGCCUGACUUGAGUAUGGGAGAGGAUGAGGGAAUUCCUGGUGUAGCGGUGAAAUGCGUAGAUAUCAGGAGGAACACCGGUGGCGAAGGCGCUCAUCUGGCCCAAUACUGACGCUGAGGCGCGAAAGCUAGGGGAGCAAACGGG